rnacentral:rRNA from 1 species
UACGUAGGGGGCUAGCGUUGUCCGGAUUUAUUGGGCGUAAAGAGCGUGUAGGCGGCCAGGUAGGUCUGCUGUGAAAACUCGAGGCUCAACCUCGAGACGUCGGCGGAAACCAUCUGGCUAGAGUCCGGAAGAGGAGAGUGGAAUUCCUGGUGUAGCGGUGAAAUGCGUAGAGAUCUGGAGGAACAUCAGAGGCGUAGGCGACGAACUGGAUAGAUACUGACACUGAACUACGAAAGCGUGGGGAGCAAACAGG